UAUCUUGUUACAUGGCAACAGAAAACUAAUCCUUUUUCAUGGGCCAGGAUGCCGUCCAGAAAACACAUGUUUACCUGUGAUACAUAGGGAAAAAUAUAUACAUUUGAAGGUCUCUGUGUGUUUACCGUGCCCUCUGUGAGUGUCAAGUCAGUUCCGGAAGGAGCCCAGCAGGGCGUGGAGUUUGGGCAAGCUGAUCCCAAAGCUCAGCCUGCCCUUCCCACGGGCUGAGAGCUAAUGAAAGGGCAGUAAGGAAGUGAGAAACAUGGGUCGUGGCCCAGGGCUUCCCUCUCAGGAGCUGCGUGGUUGUGCGUAAGUCCUGGCUCAUCUCUAGGACACAUUCGCUUGCUUGCAAAAGAAGACUUAUUAGGAACCAGGAUUUCUAUCCAAUAAAGCCGUGACUGUGGGCCAUCUAAAUUCUCUACGGAGGACCUCAAAAGUAAGAAGCUGAAAGAGGGUGCGGAGGGCGAGAAGAACCAAGCUGGGCCACCUCAAGGCAGGAGCAGAAGAGGAGAGCGUGCCGGGAGAACGAGCCUCAUUUGGGGAAAAACGGGACUAAGUCGCUUCAAGCCCUAAGUUCUGAGCUUCGGCUCCUUCUAUUUCACAUCAUCGCUUGGCUCCCUGCUAGGCACUUGCUCGUGCCACAUGGACGCCACCAUCUUCUCCCCAAACCGCCUCUCUGCCCCAGGCUGCAGGGUCUCCGGCUUCCUGCUGCCUAUCCAAUAGUGAACACCUUCCUCCUCCUCUAAUGGAGGCCUUGAGAGCCACAGCACAGCGUCUGCGCCGUUCUGCGUUACUGUAACAUUGCCCUCUGUACCAAGACAAGAAGCGCCUUUGAAGUAAGAGCCCAGGUAUCUUCGUGCAGUUGCAGUUCAGGGCAAUGGAAUAGAUGUCUUCGCCUCUCCAUGCCCACUUCCUAACAGGAUCCAGCUUUUUCUUCCUGUUUCUCCAUCUCCUUUCUAUAAGUCCAGUGUGUAUGGAUGUGAAGCCUGGAACUACUGCAACCGUUCUGUCACCAUGAGGUUUAGGUAGAAGCCCACACUGUGGAAUGCAGAAUGAAGACGUAGAAAGGAACGACACCAGAUGCCAGACUUUAGAGUGUCAUAAGCCAACAAAACCCUUUCAUCGUUGGAGCUGGUUCAAUUAUGGCUUUCUGUUGCUUGCCAUUGAGAGGACCCUAACUGCCUAAGCCAGUGAUGGCAAACCUCUCAGGGGCUGAGUGCCCAAACUGCUCGAGACAUCAUCACUUGCUGGUGCCUGCUACUCCUUUCCAAGCGUGCGCGUGGCCCCAGUGUGUGGUGGUGUCUGGUGCUCAGCUACUGGGGCAACUUGGCUCACAUGCCAACAGAGAGGGCCCAGUGCCAUAGGUUCGCCACCAUUGGCCAGGCACCAUUCCAGCAAAACUCUUGUUUUUAUGAAGUGAACCUCCAAUUACAGGGCUUGGAUGAGCCACAGCAGAAAGCAAGAAAUAAAUAAAUAAGACAAUUUUGUAUAUUGGUGACAUCUAUGAAGAAAAUAAAACAAAAUAAAAUGGGGGUAAAGGCUUGGGUGGAGGGAAGGUUACGGAAGAUUGGAUGGCCUGGGAAGGUUGCUCUGAGGAGGUGAUAUCCACUGACAAACAGGAGCAGGCUAUGGGCAGGAGAGAGGAAGAACAUUUCAGACAGAAAGACAGUCAGUGCAAAGGUCCUGUGGCAGGAAAUGGUUAGAUGGGUUCCAGGAACAGAAAAGGAGCACUGUGGCAUAGCAAGGAGGUAGGGUGGUAUGAAAUAAUGACGCUCAGUUCUCUUUUCUUAAUUUCAUCCUAUUCUUUCUAUACUUUUGAAAACAGAUUUCCUUUAUGCUGCAUGUCAUUCUGGAACUUUCCCUCAUUGUACCAAGGUUCCCUUCUCUUUUGGAUCCCAGCCUCCACCAUCUUUGUGCUUGAAGCUAGAACUUGGAAAGCAGUCCCUGUGUAUUAUCUUCUGUGGUUUUUUUCUCUUUUCCUUAUGAUUUUUUGGCCUCUCCUCUAUUUGAUUCCAGUCUUUGAGAACAUUAUGUUUUUUGAUGUGUCCAUCCUAAAAGUUUCAUGCUAGGAAAUUUAAUUGCUGUGGUAACAUACCACUCUUCUGGAUUCACCAUUCCCUACCAGAAUGCACUUGAAAUAUUAGAAUGAAUGAAUCAUGUGGAAAUGUAAUUUGCUGUGGGUCAAAAAUAUCAAACAGCAGCAGUUUGAUAUGAUUCAACCCACAUUACAACAUCAUUGAAAGUCACACUAGAGUCCAACCUGACUGUCCCAAUGCCUUGACCAGGGCUCCAGAAAAUUCUUUUUGGAACCUGGCCCUCCAGGGAAAUGUUCCCUUGCAAGGAAGCUAUGCAUCUCAGGUCACCUGACUGCCCCCUAAAUUAGCAAUGGGUAACAAAUUACUACACUGACAACAGAAGACUCCGACACUGCGCAGUUGGGCUUAGCUGCAGCAUUUGGACUUUCUGUGUGUGCCUGGUUUGCAGUGAGUUCAUCGGGGAAGGGGUGGAGUAGAUGUGCAUACCCUGACCUGGUCAAGAACUUUCUGUUCACUCUUGAGGAAAAGCCAUGGCCGCACAUAGGUAUGCAUAAGAGAAAGCCCUCGUUCUGACUCAUGCCAGGAGCAUGCUGGGGGAGGUGAAGAAGGCAGCUUGGUGCCCCAGGAUCUGCAGGCCACCAGGGCAGCCUCGGGCCCUCCCCAAGGCCCCCAUGGGCUCAGCCAGGUGAGGACUUCCACCUCCCCCUGGGCGGGUGGCCCUCCUCUCCCUGCCUCAGUGGCCCAUGGCCAUAGGGUUGGUUCUCUUCCGCUUUCUGAGUAUGCGUUCUUUCUGUUAAAGACUUCAGAAUUAAUCAUUCAUUUUCAUUCAGAUUGAGACACAUCUAACUCUGUGGACCUCACUUUUCUUGCUUAUACAACAAGGAUCUGAACUCAAUGGUUUCUAAGGUCAUUUUCAGCAAAGAGUCACAGGGCUGAACAAUGGACUUCCCACCUCGCACAUGCACGCAUGUGUGCGCGUGAAGACACACACA